AAACAAUUUUUAAAAAUUCAUUGAUGGGGAUAACUGUAAUCCCCAAGGGGAAGAGGGUUGGGUAGACAGGUUCAGUGGCCAGCCCAGUUAUUACAGAUUCAGACUCUUACCAUCUUUCUGCUCUGCCACCCUCAGUCAUUGGCUCCAUUCUCAGGCUGCGCAUGGCAAGAUGGCUUUGGACAUAACAACACCCUGAGGAAGAAGAGAAAGUGUCAGGAGCAAGAAAACAUUUCUCAGAAGUCUCCCAUGUCUUGUGGGCCAGAAUUGGGUGACAUGCCCAUUCUUGAAUCAAUCACUGGCAAGGAAAUAUGAUUGCUCUUAGAUCAAUCAGAUCCACCCUUGGGCUGGGGAAGGGUAAGUUUCCCCUAAGCACAUGGCUGCUUGGAAGCGAGUGGAUAUUGCUGAAAACCUGGAUUCCAGUAGUAAUGGAGGGGGCUGAUGGAUGCUGAUAAUGAGUCUGCCCAGUUUCCCUCUCUCAUUCCUCCUCCUGGCUGGUUUCUUUUGUUAGACAUCCAAGUGUGCCCCUUAAUAUGUAUUGAGUAUCUGAAUGUAUUCACUGCAAAUUCACUUAUUUAAUAAAUGUUUAUUGAACUCCU
rnacentral:lncRNA from 10 species